AUGCUUGCUUCGGCAGCACAUAUACUAAAAAUUGGAAUGAUACAGAGAAGAUUAGCAUGGCCCCUGAGCAAGGAUGACAUGCAAAUUUGUGAAGCGUUCCAUAUUUUA
rnacentral:snRNA from 1 species